rnacentral:sRNA from 1 species
GCGGAUGGCGGUUAUAGUGUAUGUAUAGGUGGUGGGAUAAAUAGCUAUGACCGAGCCACAGCACCACUCCCACAAUUAUAUACUACUAUGAACGCAGCCAUUUAUAGAUAACCUCGUAGUCAUAGUGCUAUGUUAUCAUACGAACAAAAGCGCCCGGCUGAUGAAUCGUAAUAUGAACUAUUAAUUUUCAAUCUCAAUAUAGAGAUAUAAAUAUUGUUUACUAAAUAUGCAGACAGUAGCUUCUAAGUUAAUUUUUGACUUUGAAGUUGAAGUAUUAACUGUUAAAGGAGUUAAAAUAAAUAUAUUUUCACUAUUCUUUUUUCUUCAUUAUAAACGCAUG